UACGUAGGGCGCAAGCGUUGUCCGGAAUUAUUGGGCGUAAAGAGCUCGUAGGCGGUUUGUCGCGUCUGCUGUGAAAUCCCGAGGCUCAACCUCGGGUCUGCAGUGGGUACGGGCAGACUAGAGUCUUGGAGAGGGUCGUGGAAUUCCCGGUGUAGCGGUGAAAUGCGUAGAGAUCGGGAGGAACACCAGAGGCGAAGGCGGCGACCUGGACAAGCACUGACACUCAACUACGAAAGCGUGGGGAGCAAACAGG
rnacentral:rRNA from 1 species